rnacentral:lncRNA from 1 species
AGUUCCGGGAGAGGCUGGAGCUCAUAACCCAGUAGUUCCAGGGGUUGCAGAGUGCGGCAGAAUGUGGUGCGCUCCAGGCGGAUGUCUACAGGGGACUGAAAGCGGCCAGCACAGGCUGGGGACACCUGGGGCCAGAGUAGGGUGCCUGGGAUGAGAGGAAAAGUUCCUGGCUUAGAGCCAAGUACGGUGGCACACACACCUGAAAUCCAAGAACUCGGAGGAAGAAGAGGGUAAAUGGCAGAACUAGUUCAAGGCCAAUCUGAUCUACACAAUAAGACCUUAUCUCACCCUCCGCCCCAGAGCAAACCAAACUUCCUCCACCUGUCUUUUCCCAUACGUCAAACCAUAGUGCUGGAGACUGACUCCAGGGGGCCAUGGGUGCCAUGCAAGCACUCUUUCACUGAGCUUCACUCCCAGAGCUAAACUAGUCAUUCUUCUCUCCAAACUCUGCACUGCCUUUGUGAAUCUCCGUCUUGGUGCCCAGAAUGCCAUGCAUGUUUGCACGCCGUAUUUGUUUAAUACCUACGGUAUGUUAGGCACUGGGCUGUGGACUAGGGAUGCGGAAAUGAAAACGAAGGCUCCUAUCUGAGAAGCUCUCACUCCAGUGAGUGAGGACAGAUGUCAUAAUUCUGCCUCAAGGAACUUUGCCACCGAAUCUGAUGAUCUGAGGUGGAACCCCAAAAUCGACAUGGUGGAAAGAGAGAACCAUCUACUACAAGUUGCCCUCUGCCCCCUGUGUGUGCCAUGGCACAUGCAUGUGCACACACACACACACACCAAAUAGAUGUAAAAUAAAGUCUUUUGAAGAGUG